GUCAAUGCAAGGUUUCUAAAUUUGGCCAAUUUUCAAUCCCUUCUGUUUUGAUGAUGCAAGCCUCAAAUGGAAAAACUUCCAACAUCAAAGUUGUAUAUAUUUUCAAUAAAAUCAAAAUGGACUUAAAUUUUGAAUCAUUUGGAUUUUUUAUGAAAGAGUUAUGGGCACUUGAAGUUGGACUUUUUUGACUUUUAAUGCCUUUGGUCAAAAAGGACCUAUAAUGUCUUACAUUAUCACAUGUAUUUCCUUUGAGAUUU
rnacentral:lncRNA from 1 species